rnacentral:rRNA from 1 species
CCUACGGGGUGCAGCAGUGGGGAAUAUUGGACAAUGGGCGAAAGCCUGAUCCAGCCAUGCCGCGUGUGUGAAGAAGGCCUUCGGGUUGUAAAGCACUUUCAGUGGGGAAGAAAGCCUUGGGGCUAAUACCCUCGAGGAAGGACAUCACCCACAGAAGAAGCACCGGCUAACUCCGUGCCAGCAGCCGCGGUAAUACGGAGGGUGCGAGCGUUAAUCGGAAUUACUGGGCGUAAAGCGCGCGUAGGCGGUCUGAUAAGCCGGUUGUGAAAGCCCCGGGCUCAACCUGGGAACGGCAUCCGGAACUGUCGGGCUAGAGUGCAGGAGAGGAAGGUAGAAUUCCCGGUGUAGCGGUGAAAUGCGUAGAGAUCGGGAGGAAUACCAGUGGCGAAGGCGGCCUUCUGGACUGACACUGACGCUGAGGUGCGAAAGCGUGGGUAGCAAACAGGAUUAGAUACCCCAGUAGUC